rnacentral:rRNA from 1 species
GGGUUGUGAGGUUAAGCGACUAAGCGUACACGGUGGAUGCCCUGGCAGUCAGAGGCGAUGAAGGACGUGCUAAUCUGCGAUAAGCGUCGGUAAGGUGAUAUGAACCGUUAUAACCGGCGAUUUCCGAAUGGGGAAACCCAGUGUGAUUCGUCACACUAUCAUUAACUGAAUCCAUAGGUUAAUGAGGCGAACCGGGGGAACUGAAACAUCUAAGUACCCCGAGGAAAAGAAAUCAACCGAGAUUCCCCCAGUAGCGGCGAGCGAACGGGGAGCAGCCCAGAGCCUGAAUCAGUGUGUGUGUUAGUGGAAGCGUCUGGAAAGGCGCGCGAUACAGGGUGACAGCCCCGUACACAAAAAUGCACAUGCUGUGAGCUCGAUGAGUAGGGCGGGACACGUGGUAUCCUGUCUGAAUAUGGGGGGACCAUCCUCCAAGGCUAAAUACUCCUGACUGACCGAUAGUGAACCAGUACCGUGAGGGAAAGGCGAAAAGAACCCCGGCGAGGGGAGUGAAAAAGAACCUGAAACCGUGUACGUACAAGCAGUGGGAGCACGCUUAGGCGUGUGACUGCGUACCUUUUGUAUAAUGGGUCAGCGACUUAUAUUCUGUAGCAAGGUUAACCGAAUAGGGGAGCCGAAGGGAAACCGAGUCUUAACUGGGCGUUAAGUUGCAGGGUAUAGACCCGAAACCCGGUGAUCUAGCCAUGGGCAGGUUGAAGGUUGGGUAACACUAACUGGAGGACCGAACCGACUAAUGUUGAAAAAUUAGCGGAUGACUUGUGGCUGGGGGUGAAAGGCCAAUCAAACCGGGAGAUAGCUGGUUCUCCCCGAAAGCUAUUUAGGUAGCGCCUCGUGAAUUCAUCUCCGGGGGUAGAGCACUGUUUCGGCAAGGGGGUCAUCCCGACUUACCAACCCGAUGCAAACUGCGAAUACCGGAGAAUGUUAUCACGGGAGACACACGGCGGGUGCUAACGUCCGUCGUGAAGAGGGAAACAACCCAGACCGCCAGCUAAGGUCCCAAAGUCAUGGUUAAGUGGGAAACGAUGUGGGAAGGCCCAGACAGCCAGGAUGUUGGCUUAGAAGCAGCCAUCAUUUAAAGAAAGCGUAAUAGCUCACUGGUCGAGUCGGCCUGCGCGGAAGAUGUAACGGGGCUAAACCAUGCACCGAAGCUGCGGCAGCGACAAUGCUGGAGGUAUCAGAAGUGCGAAUGCUGACAUAAGUAACGAUAAAGCGGGUGAAAAGCCCGCUCGCCGGAAGACCAAGGGUUCCUGUCCAACGUUAAUCGGGGCAGGGUGAGUCGACCCCUAAGGCGAGGCCGAAAGGCGUAGUCGAUGGGAAACAGGUUAAUAUUCCUGUACUUGGUGUUACUGCGAAGGGGGGACGGAGAAGGCUAUGUUGGCCGGGCGACGGUUGUCCCGGUUUAAGCGUGUAGGCUGGUUUUCCAGGCAAAUCCGGAAAAUCAAGGCUGAGGCGUGAUGACGAGGCACUACGGUGCUGAAGCAACAAAUGCCCUGCUUCCAGGAAAAGCCUCUAAGCAUCAGGUAACAUCAAAUCGUACCCCAAACCGACACAGGUGGUCAGGUAGAGAAUACCAAGGCGCUUGAGAGAACUCGGGUGAAGGAACUAGGCAAAAUGGUGCCGUAACUUCGGGAGAAGGCACGCUGAUAUGUAGGUGAAGUCCCUCGCGGAUGGAGCUGAAAUCAGUCGAAGAUACCAGCUGGCUGCAACUGUUUAUUAAAAACACAGCACUGUGCAAACACGAAAGUGGACGUAUACGGUGUGACGCCUGCCCGGUGCCGGAAGGUUAAUUGAUGGGGUCAGCGCAAGCGAAGCUCUUGAUCGAAGCCCCGGUAAACGGCGGCCGUAACUAUAACGGUCCUAAGGUAGCGAAAUUCCUUGUCGGGUAAGUUCCGACCUGCACGAAUGGCGUAAUGAUGGCCAGGCUGUCUCCACCCGAGACUCAGUGAAAUUGAACUCGCUGUGAAGAUGCAGUGUACCCGCGGCAAGACGGAAAGACCCCGUGAACCUUUACUAUAGCUUGACACUGAACAUUGAGCCUUGAUGUGUAGGAUAGGUGGGAGGCUUGGAAGUGUGGACGCCAGUCUGCAUGGAGCCGACCUUGAAAUACCACCCUUUAAUGUUUGAUGUUCUAACGUUGACCCGUGAUCCGGGUUGCGGACAGUGUCUGGUGGGUAGUUUGACUGGGGCGGUCUCCUCCUAAAGAGUAACGGAGG